rnacentral:rRNA from 1 species
UAACGCGUGAGGAACCUGCCUUCCAGAGGGGGACAACAGUUGGAAACGACUGCUAAUACCGCAUGAUACAUUUGAAUCGCAUGGUUUGAAUGUCAAAGAUUUAUCGCUGGAAGAUGGCCUCGCGUCUGAUUAGCUAGUUGGUGAGGUAACGGCCCACCAAGGCGACGAUCAGUAGCCGGACUGAGAGGUUGGCCGGCCACAUUGGGACUGAGAUACGGCCCAGACUCCUACGGAAGGCAGCAG